ACCGGGAUUUGGCUUAGGAGGUUGGAAGCAUCCAGCACCGAGGUGCCGAUCUCAGCCCGUUGAGCCCUUGCAAGCUGGAGGCCUGGGGGCGAAAAGGGAAAACCCAAAAGUCUGUCAUCCCUGGGAAUAGCCGGGAUCUGCUGGAGAGGAGAGCAGACCCAAGCGAGAGCAAGAUAUAGCAGAAAAAGGAGGAUUGCAAAGAAAUGGAGAGGGAUGAGAAGGCAACUGGGACGUGUUAGUUCGCUGAGUCGAGUGCUGGGGACACCUGGCCUCGAAGGAGAUCAGCACGAGGAGGAUGAAGGAAUCCGAGAUGGUCGUGGGAGCGACCACACGGAAGCGGAUGGCAUCUUGGGCCAGCCAGAAGGGCUUCUCUGGCAUCUUGUGCUGGUAGAAAACCAACCCGCUAUCCACCUAAAAAUAAU